ACGCUCGACACCUACGGAGGCAGCAGUGAGGGAUAUUGGUCAAUGGGGGGAACCCUGAACCAGCAACGCCGCGUGAGGGAUGACGGUCUUCGGAUUGUAAACCUCUGUCCUCUGUGAAGAUAAUGACGGUAGCAGAGGAGGAAGCUCCGGCUAACUACGUGCCUAGCAGCCGCGGUAAUCUGAGGCGGGCUGGCAAGGC
rnacentral:rRNA from 1 species